rnacentral:rRNA from 1 species
GUGAGGAAUAUUGGUCAAUGGGUGGGAGCCUGAACCAGCCAAGUCGCGUGAAGGAAGAAGGAUCUAUGGUUCGUAAACUUCUUUUGCAGGGGAAUAAAGUGCGGGACGUGUCCUGUUUUGUAUGUACCCUGAGAAUAAGGAUCGGCUAACUUCGUGCCAGCAGCCGCGGUAAUACGGAGGAUCCGAGCGUUAUCCGGAUUUAUUGGGUUUAAAGGGUGCGUAGGUGGUUUGAUAAGUCAGCGGUGAAAGUUUGCAGCUUAACUGUAAAAAUGCCGUUGAAACUGUCGGACUUGAGUGUAAAUGAGGUAGGCGGAAUGCGUGGUGUAGCGGUGAAAUGCAUAGAUAUCACGCAGAACUCCGAUUGCGAAGGCAGCUUACUAAGCUACAACUGACACUGAAGCACGAAAGCGUGGGGAUCAAACAGGAUUAGAAACCCUGGUAGUCC